CCUACGGGGGGCAGCAGUAGGGAAUAUUGCGCAAUGGGCGCAAGCCUGACCCAGCAACGCCGCGUGAAGGAUGAAGGCUUUCGGGUUGUAAACUUCUUUUCUGAGGGACGAAGAAAGUGACGGUACCUCAGGAAUAAGCCACGGCUAACUACGUGACAGCCGCCGCGGUAAUCCGUAGGGGGCACGCGUUAUCCGGAUUUAUUGGGUGUAAAGGCCGUGUUGGCGGGAAUGCAAGUCAGAUGUGAAAACUCAGGGCUCAACCCUGAGCCUGCAUUUGAUACUGUUUUUCUUGUGUGCUGGAGAGGCAAUCGGAAUUCCGGGUGUAGCGGUGAAAUGCGUAGAUAUACGGAGGAACACCAGUGGCGAAGGCGGAUUGCUGGACAGUAACUGACGCUGAGGCGCGAAAGCGUGGGGAGCAAACAGGAUUAGAUACCCGUGUAGUC
rnacentral:rRNA from 1 species